rnacentral:rRNA from 1 species
GAUGAACGCUGGCGGCGUGCUUAACACAUGCAAGUCGAACGGAAAGGCUCCUGCUUGCAGGGGUACUCGAGUGGCGAACGGGUGAGUAACACGUGGGUGAUCUGCCCAGCACUUCGGGAUAAGCCUGGGAAACUGGGUCUAAUACCGGAUAGGACGAUGGUUUGGAUGCCAUUGUGGAAAGUUUUUUCGGUGUGGGAUGAGCUCGCGGCCUAUCAGCUUGUUGGUGGGGUAAUGGCCUACCAAGGCGUCGACGGGUAGCCGGCCUGAGAGGGUGUACGGCCACAUUGGGACUGAGAUACGGCCCAGACUCCUACGGGAGGCAGCAGUGGGGAAUAUUGCACAAUGGGCGCAAGCCUGAUACAGCGACGCCGCGUGGGGGAUGACGGCCUUCGGGUUGUAAACUCCUUUCGCUAGGGACGAAGCGCAAGUGACGGUACCUGGAGAAGAAGCACCGGCUAACUACGUG